UGACGUUAGCGGCGGACGGGUGAGUAACACGUGGGCAACCUGCCUGUAAGACUGGGAUAACUUCGGGAAACCGAAGCUAAUACCGGAUACGAUCUUCUCCUUCAUGGGAAAUGAUUGAAAGAUGGUUUCGGCUAUCACUUACGGAUGGGCCCGCGGUGCAUUAGCUAGUUGGUGAGGUAACGGCUCACCAAGGCAACGAUGCAUAACCGACCUGAGAGGGUGAUCGGCCACACUGGGACUGACACACGGCCCACACUCCUACGGGAGGCAGCAGUAGGGAAUCUUCCGCAAUGGACGAAAGUCUGACGGACCACCGCCGCGUGAGUGAUGAAUGCUUUCGGGUCGUAAAACUCUGUUGUUAGGAAAGAACAAGUACGAAAGUAACUGCUCGUACCUUGACGGUACCUAACCAGAAAGCCACGGCUAACUACGUGCCACCAGCCGCGGUAAUACGUAGGUGGCAAGCGUUAUCCGGAAUUAUUGGGCGUAAAGCGCGCGCAGGCGGUUUCUUAAGUCUGAUGUGAAAGCCCACGGCUCAACCGUGGAGGGUCAUUGGAGACUGGGGAACUUGAGUGCAAAAGAGAAAAGCGUCAUUCCGCGUGUAGCGGUGAAAUGCAUAUAGAUGUGGAGGAACACCAGUGGCGAAGGCGGCUUUUUGGUCUGUAACU
rnacentral:rRNA from 1 species